UUGACCUCGGAUCAGGUAGGAAGACCCGCUGAACUUACAACAGGGAUUGCCCUAGUAACGGCGAGUGAAGCGGCAACAGCUCAAAUUUGAAAUCUGGCUUCGGCCCGAGUUGUAAUUUGCAGAGGAAGCUUUAGGCGCGGCACCUUCUGAGUCCCCUGGAACGGGGCGCCAUAGAGGGUGAGAGCCCCGUAUAGUUGGAUGCCUAGCCUGUGUAAAGCUCCUUCGACGAGUCGAGUAGUUUGGGAAUGCUGCUCAAAAUGGGAGGUAAAUUUCUUCUAAAGCUAAAUACCGGCCAGAGACCGAUAGCGCACAAGUAGAGUGAUCGAAAGAUGAAAAGCACUUUGAAAAGAGGGUUAAAUAGCACGUGAAAUUGUUGAAAGGGAAGCGCUUGUGACCAGACUUGCGCCGGGCGGAUCAUCCGGUGUUCUCACCGGUGCACUCCGCCCGGCUCAGGCCAGCAUCGGUUCUCGCGGGGGGAUAAAGGUCCUGGGAACGUAGCUCCUCCGGGAGUGUUAUAGCCCGGGGCGUAAUGCCCUCGCGGGGACCGAGGUUCGCGCAUCUGCAAGGAUGCUGGCGUAAUGGUCAUCAGCGA
rnacentral:rRNA from 1 species